CUAACACAUGCAAGUCGAGCGGGUAUGUUCUAAUUGCUGAACACACGACCGGCGCACGGGUGAGUAACGCGUUUGCAAUUUACCUCUAACUGGAAGAUAGCCCGAAGAGAUUCGGAUUAAUACUCCAUAAUAUUAGGAAUUCGCAUGAUUUCCUAAUUAAAGCUCCGGCGGUUAGAGAUGAGCAUGCGUGUCAUUAGCUAGUUGGUAAGGUAACGGCUUACCAAGGCGACGAUGACUAGGGGGUCUGAGAGGAUGGUCCCCCACACUGGUACUGAGACACGGACCAGACUCCUACGGGAGGCAGCAGUGAGGAAUAUUGGGCAAUGGGCGCAAGCCUGACCCAGCCAUGCCGCGUGCAGGAUGACUGCCCUAUGGGUUGUAAACUGCUUUUAUACGGGAAGAAUGGUUCCUACGUGUAGGGAUUUGACGGUACCGUAAGAAUAAGCAUCGGCUAACUCCGUGCCAGCAGCCGCGGUAAUACGGAGGAUGCAAGCGUUAUCCGGAUUCAUUGGGUUUAAAGGGUGCGCAGGCGGAAUAUUAAGUCAGUGGUGAAAUCCUGCAGCUUAACUGUAGAACUGCCAUUGAUACUGAUAUUCUUGAAUAUAGUUGAGGUGGGCGGAAUGUGUAAUGUAGCGGUGAAAUGCUCAGAUAUUACACAGAACACCGAUUGCGAAGGCAGCUCACUAAACUAGUAUUGACGCUGAGGCACGAAAGCGUGGGGAGCGAACAGGAUUAGAUACCCUGGUAGU
rnacentral:rRNA from 1 species